rnacentral:lncRNA from 1 species
UAUACAUAUAUAUUACUUGUGUGUAUUUAUUAUUUGAUAUGUACAUAAGGGGUAUACAAACCGUUAUGUGUAUACAUACAUAUCUACUCAGCAUCAGCAUCACUGCAUCAGCAUCUUGAAAUGGUAUGACUGAUUAGAAUAACAUCAGGAAACGAUUUAUAUUACACGCAUAACACUAGUCGAAAUGGUAUUAUUAUUAUUAUUGUUAUUGCGUUGCGUGUCAUCAUUUUUAAAGUUUGAAACAGGUA